AGCUUUCACUUCUGCAGUUUGGGAAAACAAGAGAGGAGUAAUUGAGUCAGUAAGUGGAGUUUCAAAUUAAAGUCAGACUCGGCUGAUUAAACAAUCAAUUCAAAUAUGAACUGGUUUCAAACAAAGUCUCUCUCUUAAUGAAGUCACUUUUGGGCUUUUGGAUACCAUGAUGGUGAUUUUUCAAUUAUUUUUUUUGACAUAUUGAGAAAAUAUUCAGCUGAUUCAUCCUUCCACCAAUCAUAGAGGGGCUUUGAAUCUGUUUAAUGCACACAUAUAGGGAAAUGUGACUUGUGACUUUCACUUAACUUUUACUAACAGCAGUUUCAAAUCCGUCUGAUUCUGUCUCAAACUGACAGUACUGAUUAGACAUCAUACUCCAACCAGACUGCACAGUGAACUCCACCAGUCAAGUUUGCACUUAAGGCACUCCCCCGCUUUUGCUUCCUUAUUAGGUCAAGGAGAGCAGAUCUAUUAAAUGGGCUGAGUGGAAUACUCUAUCUGAAUGGACUUAGCUCCUUGUCUCACAGUAGCUUAGAUUGUGGUUGGUUUAAGACAGGGCAGGGAUGAUGACGCUGUAAAAGGAUCUGAAUUAUAGAUUAUAGUGUGAGGGUGUUGCAUGUGAGAGUGCACACACUGCUGAAGCGUGCAGAGCUGCAGAGGGGACGGGGAGUUUCUCUGACACAGGGGAGCCUCACAGAUGCACACCUCUGCAGCUGUAUAUAGUGACUGUCAGUUUCACAAGAGCCACGUAGAAAAGACAUGCAGUUUGUGUUGAUGUCUGAAAAUAACCCUGAAUUACUCACUUUUGUUUUUUGGCUUUGUCAUGUUGCUGCAGUGAUUCCUCCAGUGCAAUACUACAGGGAUUAUUUGGGACUUGAAAUAGACUUGGAUGAUUUCCCUAAUAAUACUGUGUCAGUGUUUGAUACAGCAUAUUCUCUUCAGCAGGUGGAUACAGCAGCUUUUUUCUCUCUUGAUAAAUGUGAUGAUUAAAUGAUCUAAAAUGUUUAAAAAAAGGAAAAAUACCCAUCAGAAUAUCCUUUAGUCUGGGUGCUGAUUAGGGAUAGGCAAUAAAUUAUAGUCCACGAUAUAUCGUCAGAAAAAUGCAAGUCGAUGACGUAAGUGCAAGUGACAGACUCGCAGCCAUAGCCCACACAGAGCAGAAUAACAAACAAACAUGGCUGAAAGUAAUGAAGAAGACGUUUCUGAGCGGCUCGUUACUGAACGAGGCUCCACAUCAGGUAUACCUGACAUCAGACAGUGGAUCUGCUGCUGUUCACUCUGUGCAAGAGUUUUCAAUAAAUGUUGGAAAUGUUUUCACAUUUGAGACUUGUUUGAAGUCAUUGGUUUUCUCUAUAACCUACCACUUAAACUUGUGGUUAAGUAUCGCAUUUGACUACUCCAACUGGUGUUCUCAAAACAAAAUGAGUCAAAAAUAUAGACUGGAAUUGUAAUAUUUUUUAUUGAGACUUUUAUCAUUAUUGCCAAUCUUAUUAUGAUAAAUUUAGCCCAUACCACCCAUCACUAGUGCUGGUUUAACUUUGCUGUUCGAUGGCGUGACCUGAUUCCAUCCUGCAGCUCUUUGCUGUUCCACUCUAACACUCUAACAACCAUCCUAUCCGUGUCAAUAAAUGCAUAAAAGCGUAACACACAUCCUAAAUUACCAUUGUGUGCAUGCAGGCUGCAGCACAUGACUUUUUGUGAUGGACAUGAAUAAACCACAUCAACAGUGUCACAGUAUAUUCCCUUAUGUAUGAUUUAUUGUGGAGCUACUGUAUAAAUUGUAUUACUCUCUGGUUCCUUUGGUAGAUUUAUGAUGAUUGAGACUGUUGUAGCAUGUGCAAAGCCUCUUUUUGUUCCCUUUGUUUCCAUAUUGGCAUUAGUUUCUGAAUAAAAAUACAACAUCACGCUGUCUGCUCUUGUAAAGAUCCAGUAACAUCCUCGAUGUCUCGCCAUAAAUCUCUGAGUCUGACUUGAACAGGGUUUGUUUAUCACUUUGUUUUCCACUAUCUCCUAAUCGAUGUGUGUUCUGUCAGUGCAGAGGCCUCUUUGACGAUUACACAGCACGACUGCAGACUGUAUUAUUGGUGUCAGCACAGAGCGCUACACUGCCAUGACUAAUGCCACAAUUCUCCUCCUCCUCCAGCGAUCCGAACAUAAGGUGAACAAGAAAUUUUGAGCUGAGGUGAUUUAUUCAAGAUUUGUCCUGGAAACACUUAGAGAUGUUCCAUAUAAGUCAGAGAAAGUGUGAAUCUGGGAGUUUGGGCUCUUGAGUGUGUAGAGCACAGAACAGAUGAAGAUGCCUGUCAUAUUGAUUUGGCAUCCUCUCCUAAUUACCGUCGUCCUCAUGGUGCUAAUUGGAUGUUUUAAGAUUUAUGUUACGAAAAUCCUGUGGGAUUAUUAAAACCUUUAACAAGAGAGACAGAGACUGUGUUUAUGUUAAUUACACAGUUUUCAAACUUCUUAUUUCCUGAUUGUAGACAGAGUUCAGACCCUAAGAUCAAGCUGCGACCAUCUGUGCUAUUGUUGAUUAAUGUGCCUGCUAUUUUUCUGAUCAGUCGAUUGGUUUGGUAAAAACAGCAUUGAUUGAAGUUCAUCCGGAAGCCAAUAGUAAUUUAACUCAAAUGUGAGAUAGGGAGAAACCCAGACCUGCUUAUUUAUUGAUUAUUAGUGGACUCUUCAUUGGAGCAUGACCACAAUGUAGUGUGUGCAGUUUCACUGUUAAAGGAAGGCACAAGCUAAGAGGCUAAUUACUCUAUUUGUUAAUUAAAGUGGGAGGUUUUUCAGCUGAUGUGCUUAUUCAGCAAGGGAAGUAAUAAGGGGAAUCUUAAAAACUCAUGAUUCAAAGAGAAGCUAGACUGAACAUCUUGAGUUUAAUCAACAUAUUCAAGUUGAUGGGAGAUUAUUUUAAAGACUGGCUUCAUUUCUUGAGGAUAUAAACAAAAUUAAGAGUAGUUCGAUCACAAGUUAACGGCACUGCAAAGAAAAAGGUCUUCAAAAUAGAUGCAGUAGGGCUGGGCGAUAUGGCCUCAAAUCAAUAUCACAAUAUAUUGAGCAGUUCACCUUGAUAACGAUAAAUGGACGAUAACUACUCCACUCCACAAGCUGUUCACCCCUUCCCACAUCAACUUCUUCUACUUCAGCUGAUGCUCCACCUGCUACAACUUUUGAACCGUCCUCCAUCUCCUCACCUGUCUUUCCCUCUUUGUUACAGACUGGAUUGGGUGGAGUCACGUCUCUGAUGUAGGACAGCAUCUUACAGGGACAUGAGACCAUAGCCUACCUACACACAUCCAACACCAACUUUUAUUUAUUUUUUUGACACCAAAUAUACUAUAUGGGCAAAAUGACGUCAGUUAUUGUUGUAAAUUUCGGUAUCUGUAAAUUUUUGUUUUUUUGGUUUGUCGCCCAGCCCUCAGAUGCAGUUAGGGAUGUCCCGAUCUAAUAUUGACAUCCGAUAUCAGUCCGAUAUCAGCAAAAAAACAAAUAUCGGUCUGCAUCUAAAAUCUCAGGUAUCAGCACUUCAAUCUAAGCAGUCCAUUCCAGACUCUGCUCCAGCACCCCUAUCUAGCAGCGCCCAGAUCCAACAUGCAUGGCCC